rnacentral:rRNA from 1 species
CCCUUGGAUGUUCUGGGCCGCACGCGCGCUACACUGAUGCAUUCAACGAGUUCCUACCUUGGCCGAGAGGCCUGGGCAAUCUUUUGAACUUGCAUCGUGAUAGGGAUAGAUUAUUGCAAUUAUUAAUCUUGAACGAGGAAUUCCUAGUAAACGCAGAUCAUCAAUCUGCAUUGAUUACGUCCCUGCCCUUUGUACACACCGCCCGUCGCACCUACCGAUUGAAUGGUCCGGUGAAGCCUCGGGAUUGUGGUUAGUUUCCUUCAUUGGAAGUUAGCCGCGAGAACUUGUCUAAACCUUAUCAUUUAGAGGAAGGUGAAGUCGUAACA